rnacentral:rRNA from 1 species
GCAAGACCGGUGCCAGCCGCCGCGGUAACACCGGCGGCUCGAGUGGUAACCGUUAUUAUUGGGUCUAAAGGGUCUGUAGCCGGUUUGGAUCAGUCCUCUUGGGAAAUCUGGUAGCUUAACUGUUAGGCUUUCGGGGGAUACUGUCUGGCUUGGAGGCCGGGAGAGGUGAGAGGUACUUCAGGGGUAGGGGUGAAAUCUUGUAAUCCCUGUGAAGGACCACCUGUGGCGAAGGCGUCUUACCAGAACGGGUUCUGACGGUGAGGGACGAAAGCUGGGGGCACGGACCGGAUUAGAUACCCGGGUAGUCCUAGCCGUAAACGAUGCUCGCUAGGUGUCAGGCAUGGCGCGACCGUGUCUGGUGCCGCAGGGAAGCCGUGAAGCGAGCCACCUGGGAAGUACGGCCGCAAGGCUGAAACUUAAAGGAAUUGGCGGGGGAGCACAACAACGGGUGGAGCCUGCGGUUUAAUUGGACUCAACGCCGGACAACUCACCGGGGACGACAGCAAAAUGUAGGCCAGGCUGAAGACCUUGCCUGAAUCGCUGAGAGGAGGUGCAUGGCCGUCGCCAGUUCGUACUGUGAAGCAUCCUGUUAAGUCAGGCAACGAGCGAGACCCA